UUAAUAAAGAUUGUAUAUAUGAUUUUCCCGAACUUAAAAGAGCUAAUUUAAUAUACAUAUUAUUGUGGAAUAAAUAUUUAUAAUAUUUAGUUAGUAAUGAAACGUUAUUCGUUUUUAAAUAUAUCUGGUUUUUUUAGAAAUAAAUUAAAUUUAGUUUAGUUUAUGAAAUCGAUUUAGUUUUUAAUUGGUUUUAUGUCUAGGGUAAUAUAUUAAGGGAUGAGCUUUAAUAUAAAAUAUUAUAAAUAGAUAGUAAAUUUGAAUAGAAUAGGAUUAGAAGUUUUCAUUUUUAGAAGGGUGUUAUAACUUAUUUUGUGGGGUAUUUGAUUUUUAUUGAUUUUAAAUUGUUUAUGAAAAUGUAAUUUUGAUUUUUAAUUAAUUAGCAAUAAUGGUAAAAUUAGUAUAUAGUUAUUUAUAGUUAAUGGGGUGUGCUAGGUUAAUCAAAGGAAUUCGGCAAAUAAUUUCUCACCUGUUUAUUAAAAACAUGGCCUUUUGAUUAUUAUUUAAGGUUUAGCCUGCCCACUGAGGUAUUAAAUGGCCGCGGUACUCU
rnacentral:rRNA from 1 species